UACGUAGGGGGCGAGCGUUGUCCGGAUUUAUUGGGCGUAAAGAGCUCGUAGGUGGUUCGGUAAGUCGGGUGUUAAACCCCCAGGCUCAACCUGGGGACGCCACUCGAUACUGCUGUGACUAGAGUCCGGUAGGGGAGCGUGGAAUUCCUGGUGUAGCGGUGAAAUGCGCAGAUAUCAGGAGGAACACCAGCGGCGAAGGCGGCGCUCUGGGCCGGUACUGACACUGAGGCGCGAAAGCUAGGGUAGCAAACGGG
rnacentral:rRNA from 1 species